AGGCGUAGCCGAUGCACAGACGGUAGAGAUUCCGUCACCACCAAAAGAGUUAAGCACAGGGACACAUAUGAAGUCUCAGAGCCGGGUGUUGGUUCCGGUAGAGAUCGAGGGAAGUUAGUACCGAAGUCUGAGAUGGAAGAUGGCGAGAAAAGCUGUGUGUAUUUCUGAGGUGCCCGUACCGCAAACCGACACAGGUAGGUAGGAAGAAGAUUCUAAGGCCAACGGGAGAAGGGUUGUUAAGGAACUCGGCAAGUUGACCCCGUAACUUCGGAAUAAGGGGUGCUCACGAGAGUGAGCCGCAGAGAAUAGGCCCAGGCAACUGUUUACCAAAAACACAGGUUUGUGCUAAAUCGAAAGAUGACGUAUACGAGCUGACGCCUGCCCGGUGCUGGAAGGUUAAGAGGAGAUGUGCAAGCAUUGAAUCGAAGCCCCAGUGAACGGCGGCCGUAACUAUAACGGUCCUAAGGUAGCGAAAUUCCUUGUCAGGUAAGUUCUGACCCGCACGAAUGGCGUAACGAUUUGGGCACUGUCUCAACAGCCCGCCCGGCGAAAUUGUAGUACCGGUGAAGAUGCCGGUUACCCGCGACAAGACGGAAAGACCCCAUGGAGCUUUACUGUAGCCUAAUAUUGGGUUUCGAUGUUGCAUGCACAGGAUAGAUGGGACACAGGGAAACAAGUGCUUUGGCAUUUGUGGAGUGGCCGUUGGGAUACCAUCCUUGCGAUAUUGGAAUUCUAACCUGCGCCUUUGAAUCAAGGCGGGGGACAUUGUUAGGUGGGCAGUUUGACUGGGGCGGUCGCCUCCUAAAGAGUAGCGGAGGCGUUCAAAGGUUGGCUCGUCCUGGACGGAAACCAGGAGAGAGAGUGCAAACGCAAAAGCCAGCCUGACUGCGAGACUGACGGGUCGAGCAGAGACGAAAGUCGGAGUUAGUGAUCCGGUGGUAUGUGAGUGGAAAUGCCAUCGCUCAACGGAUAAAAGUUACCCUGGGGAUAACAGGCUGAUCUCCCCCAAGAGUCCACAUCGACGGGGAGGUUUGGCACCUCGAUGUCGGCUCAUCGCAUCCUGGGGCUGUAUUCGGUCCCAAGGGUUUGGCUGUUCGCCAAUUAAAGCGGUACGCGAGCUGGGUUCAGAACGUCGUGAGACAGUUCGGUCCCUAUCUGUCGUGGGCGCAGGAUAUUUGAAAGGCGCUGUCCCUAGUACGAGAGGACCGGGAUGGACGAACCUCUGGUGCACCAGUUGUCACGCCAGUGGCACAGCUGGGCAGCUAUGUUCGGAUCGGAUAAACGCUGAAAGCAUCUAAGCGUGAAGCCGGCCUUAAGAUAAGAUAUCCCACUGAGUCAAUCAGGUAAGACCCCUUGAAGACUACAAGGUUGAUAGGCACACAGUGUAAGCGGAGUGAUCCGUUCAGCUAGCGUGUACUAAUAGGUCGAGGGCUUGACCC
rnacentral:rRNA from 1 species